CCUACGGGUGGCUUCAGUGAGGGAUAUUGCACAAUGGAGGGAACUCUGAUGCAGCAAUGCCGCGUGAGUGAAGGAGGCCCUAUGGGUUGUAAAGCUCUGUGGAAGGGGACAAUAAUGAUGGUACCCUAUUAGAAAGCACCGGCUAACUACGUGCCAGCAGCCGCGGUAAUACGUAGGGUGCAAGCGUUGUUCGGAAUUACUGGGCGUAAAGGGGGAGUAGGCGGAAAGAAAAGUCAGAUGUGAAAGCCCUGUGCUUAACGCAGGAAGAGCAUUUGAAACUAUCUAACUAGAGUGUAUUAUGGGAGCGUGGAAUUCCUAGGGUAGCGGUGAAAUGCGUAGAUAUUAGGAGGAAGACACGUGGCGAAGGCGACGCUCUGGGGUAACACUGACGCUGAGGACCGAAAGCAUGGGGAGCAAACA
rnacentral:rRNA from 1 species